rnacentral:rRNA from 1 species
UGCAAGUCGAACGAGAGAAUUGCUAGCUUGCUAAUAAUUCUCUAGUGGCGCACGGGUGAGUAACACGUGAGUAACCUGCCCCCAAGAGUGGGAUAGCCCCGGGAAACUGGGAUUAAUACCGCAUAAAAUCGCAAGAUUAAAGCAGCAAUGCGCUUGGGGAUGGGCUCGCGUCCUAUUAGUUAGUUGGUGAGGUAACGGCUCACCAAGGCGAUGACGGGUAGCCGGUCUGAGAGGAUGUCCGGCCACACUGGAACUGAGACACGGUCCAGACACCUACGGGUGGCAGCAGUCGAGAAUCAUUCACAAUGGGGGAAACCCUGAUGGUGCGACGCCGCGUGGGGGAAUGAAGGUCUUCGGAUUGUAAACCCCUGUCAUGUGGGAGCAAAUUAAAAAGAUAGUACCACAAGAGGAAGAGACGGCUAACUCUGUGCCAGCAGCCGCGGUAAUACAGAGGUCUCAAGCGUUGUUCGGAAUCACUGGGCGUAAAGCGUGCGUAGGCGGUUUCGUAAGUCGUGUGUGAAAGGCGGGGGCUCAACCCCCGGACUGCACAUGAUACUGCGAGACUAGAGUAAUGGAGGGGGAACCGGAAUUCUCGGUGUAGCAGUGAAAUG